GACGAACGCUGGCGGCGUGCCUAACACAUGCAAGUCGAGCGAUGAAGCUUCUUCGGAAGUGGAUUAGCGGCGGACUGGUGAGUAACACGUGGGUAACCUGCCUCAUAGUGGGGAAUAGCCUCUCGAAAGGGAGAUUAAUACCGCAUAAGAUUGUAGUUCCGCAUGGAAUAGCAAUUAAAGGAUUUAUUCGCUAUGAGAUGGACCCGCGGCGCAUUAGCUAGUUGGUGAGGUAACGGCUCACCAAGGCGACGAUGCGUAGCCGACCUGAGAGGGUGAUCGGCCACAUUGGGACUGAGACACGGCCCAGACUCCUACGGGAGGCAGCAGUGGGGAAUAUUGCACAAUGGGGGAAACCCUGAUGCAGCAACGCCGCGUGAGUGAUGACGGCCUUCGGGUUGUAAAGCUCUGUCUUCAGGGACGAUAAUGACGGUACCUGAGGAGGAAGCCACGGCUAACUACGUGCCAGCAGCCGCCGUAACAC
rnacentral:rRNA from 1 species